UGCGUAGGCGGAAUAUUAAGUCAGUGGUGAAAUCCUGCGGCUCAACCGUAGAACUGCCAUUGAUACUGAUAUUCUUGAAUGUAGUUGAGGUAGGCGGAAUGUGUAAUGUAGCGGUGAAAUGCUUAGAUAUUACACAGAACACCGAUUGCGAAGGCAGCUUACUAAAUUAUGAUUGACGCUGAGGCACGAAAGCGUGGGGAGCGAACAGGAUUAGAUACCCUGGUAGUCC
rnacentral:rRNA from 1 species